CUUAAAACAUCCCAAAUCUCACUGGGAGUAAGGCUGAGCUAAUGCUUAAGUCUGUCUCCCACUGAAAAGCUUUAAUGCACAAACCUAACUGUAUUUAGCUCCUCUUCUCAGCUCCUUCUAUGAACAAGAGAGUGCUAUUACAGUAGCUCAGCUGGCAUUCUUGUCUAGCUCCUACCUACGGAAAGCCAAGCUUGCUCAGGCCACUCACAUGCACACAUACAUACACUUUCCAGCUCCUGCUGCAGGUAGUUUUAUUUCUGAAGUGAGAUUGUAAUUUUUUUUUUCCUGGCCUGCUUGUAUGAUACCCCCCUUCUCACUGAUGUUACUCCCCUCCCCUCAACAUGCUUUCCCAGGGUGAUAAUCUCCCUGCUGCAGCACUAUCCAGCACCUGCAGGCUGGGCUGGAGCCUGGUCAGUCGUAGCAUCGCCCUCCCAGAUGCUGUUGGCAGGUAACAGACUGCUCUAAGGACAGCAAGAAUUUCAUACCUGCAAGAAAGUAACACUCCUUUGACACUGAACCUGUUUUUAUAUAGAAGACUUCUUCUACAAAUGUUCACAAAGUGACUAAAUUAAAUACUUUGCCUGCUUUGUUAUCUACUUCCACUCCUGUCACCUGUGGAAUAAAACCAAGCUUCCAAGUGA